UCGAUUAACUUUUUCUUACUCAACGAUCGUGACCAUUUUUUUGUUUUACGUCUUAUGCAUAAUACGGAUUCUAAAAUGAAAUACUAAAAAUGAAUCGGAGAUAUUGUUUGGCGAUAAGAGCACUUCUGGCAGAGGCAAAUGAGGGAAAACGUUAAAGAAAUCAAGAAAAAAAAACAUAUAAUAUGACAGCAACAAAAUAAAUCAGUAAUUCAUUCAUGUCUGACGCGUUCCAACUUUUUUGAAAUGUUGAUUGUCUAUUUUCAGAAUUUUCAAGAGUCGGGGAAGGAAAAUUGCGAGAGCGGUAGAGCACACACGAACACGAGCACCCAGCUUAAUGUAUUGUUUAAGAUGAUUGUAGACGGCGCUUGCUUCGGAAAAGACUUCCCGUACCCACUCCCAGCUCCCAGCGUGCCGGCAGCAUUCCUCGAACUCGGCCAUUUUCGUUGGGACUCUCGGGACGUAACGUAUGGUCGUUUACUCUAUUUCUGGAUAGAUUUUUUAUCUCUUGAUCAUAGAUAUCGAUUGAUCAUGGUUAACGGUAGAAUUCCGUCGGUCUUUUCUAAGACCUAUGUCACACCACGACGACCAUAUGAGAAGGCUCGUCUUGAUCAAGAAUUAAAGAUUAUCGGAGAGUAUGGUCUUCGCAACAAGCGUGAAGUGUGGAGAGUAAAAUACACUCUUGCCAAAAUCCGUAAAGCUGCUCGUGAGCUGCUCACAUUGGAAGAAAAAGAUCCUAAACGUCUUUUUGAAGGUAACGCUCUUCUUCGUCGUUUGGUAAGAAUCGGAGUCUUGGAUGAAGGACGCAUGAAGCUUGAUUACGUUCUUGGUCUGAAAAUUGAAGAUUUUUUGGAAAGACGUCUACAGACUCAGGUUUUCAAACUUGGAUUGGCUAAGUCCAUCCACCACGCACGUGUUCUUAUUCGUCAAAGACACAUUCGAUACGAGGAACCUCACUGACACCCAUCGAUGGUCUAACAAAACUCAAUAACGUCUUGAAUGACUUCGUAAUGGCCACUGAAAUGCUACAGUUAUGGCUGUCGUUUCACGCCACAACAAAAAAAAGUUUUUUUUUUGUUUUACGGACAGAGCGUCCUGGUCGCGGGUGGUGUCACAAUUAUUCACUAAGACCACUUGAUCGACGAGUCUUAAUUUUAAGAUCUCGGCGUUCAACGUCUUGAAUUAAAAAUCCUGUUUUCUCGCGAAUCUUGAAGUUUCAUAUCGCGUUCGCAAACAAGUUGUGAACAUUCCAUCAUUCAUCGUACGUCUCGACUCGCAGAAACACAUCGAUUUCUCCACAAAAUCGCCCUUCGGAAGUGGCCGUGCUGGUCGUGUCAAGAGGAAGAACAUGCGCAAGGGAA